UUGUAUUAAAGGCUAAUGUUGGAUUUCGAGGGUAAAAAUGUUGCGGCCAUUAAGCUAUCUAUGGUUGGGGGAGGCAGAGUCACUGGUUUGUUCUAUUGUGAGUUGCUCUCUCGUGUGGUCAAGUGAAAGAUAAAGUGGACUCAUUGAAAGAUGAAGCCAUAAACUGCAGUAUAAAGAAAGAAAUUACCCACAGGUCUGUUCUCGAUCACUCUUUUCACAGAGGUUUAAUAUCUACAUGGAGGUUGAACACUGUUAGUGUAAGAAGUUAGAUCUGCCAUCAACCAUCACACUGGCAACCACCACAUAACUGGGCUCUGACCUGAGCACCUAACCACAAGAGUAUAUCCCUAGCUCGAGGAUAUUUACAUCAAGCAUUGUUUGGAAUAAGGGAAGGUUGAGAAGGAUUGGAGUAAGCAGAGACGAAUGCAUGCAUUUGCUGAAAAUAAAGAUUCAACAAAGAGGAAAAGUGAAAGGCAAAGUGGACUCAUGAAGAGAUAAAG